GUUCUGCUGUAUGAGGGAGUGGCAGGCAGGUGGUUUGGGUGGGUUUAAAUGUGAUGGAGGUAGGGAGGGGUCCUCCUGGGAGGGUCCUGGUGUUCCUGAAUGGUUUUGUGUGAACUAAAGAGAUAAGAAGCUGAUGUUUGCCUUUAAAGCUCGUCAUUUGAUCCUCUAGCUAUUGAUAGCAAGGAUAACCAGAUUUUUUUGUAUGACUUCAAUAUAAGAGGAAUGAAUGACAAAAAGAAUAACAAAACAGGAGGUAGAGAACAAAUGGAAAUAUGUAUUUAUCAUAAAAAAUGCAAUUGAACUGUGAGAAUCUUCUUGCCAGCAGUCAGCAUGGUAAAGCAAAGUGUAACUGCCCAGAAGGAUUAGACAAACUCAUAAGUUCUUCAAGAGGUGUUAAACACUAAAGUGAAGACUUUAACUACUUUUAAGAGUCCAGGAAAUAUAGAUUAACAUAUCUCAGAGCAAAGAAAAUCUCAGAACUUGUGUUCCCAAGCUUUUUUUCUCAAGCACACAGUAUCCUUUGGUGUGCCUAUAGUCAGAUUGGAUGCAUGCCACUUGGUCAAGAAAAUCAAAAUGCCUUUUGAGAUUACAGAAAAUGAAGAAACUUACUGCAGAAGAUAAAUGGGGGAUGGAAGGGGAAUGGGGAUAAGGGGAGAGCAAGAAAAAAACAAAACAAAAACGAACCACAUGAAUUCUGAAUGAGGUUGCUUGAGCAUCUAUUGGCCUCAUUCAGAGGCCUUUCACUUAAAUAGACUAAAAAUUUUAAAAAAACCCAGAAGUCAAGGUGAAAAGGAGGACAGCUGUGUCUUGAAAAACUAGAAUCUUGAAGUAACUGAAAGAGGAAUAAGCAGACCUUCCCCAGCAGUACCCUUUGAUCCCAAAGAUAUCCAGACAGAUGAAGCCUCAGGGACCUAAGAGCAGGAACACAUUUCACCUUGUUUAAGAUCCUUGUGACUGUCUGGGCCAGAGCAGGGAUGGGGUUUGAGGAAGAGCUCCUGUAAGUUGCUGAUGUCUUCGUGAGUGACAAUUUAUGAACUAUGAAAGCGGAUCCUGCUGAGUUCUGAAAGGAGAGCACCAUGCCAGUGAGUGCUGUGCAAGAUGUGUGUGUCCAAGAGCACUGCAAAGGUGCCUGCACUCAUUUCUUGAGAAGCAGCAGGUACCAGAACCAAGCCUGACCCUCAGGGCUGCUCUGUGCUGCUGAACUGUUUGCAAGGUUUCGUCUGUGUUCGGUGGGAGAUGCAGGGAAUGCUUACUUGUUAAAUGUGUUUGUGGCUCCCCCCGGUUCUCUAUAAGAAUAUGCUGCCCAACAUUACCUGAAAUUUCUACUUGUUGGCUGGUGAUUUCUCCAAAUUUGAUUAGUUUUGUGAUUUGGUGCUUUGAAGAGUUACCCUUCCUGCUUCCUCACUGCCCUCAGAAACUAACUAGUCUGCUGCUUUCCUGCUUUCCUUGGUGGAUGUAGAGGGGAGAAACUACUCUGAUAUUCAGACUGUUCUGUUGUCAGUAGCAACAUCUCCAGGUUAUUUGAGCCUUUUUUUCUCCUUUGUUUUCUCAUACCAAUCUCUAUAAAUUCUGGAAAAAUACUUUUUUUACUGCUUCACAGCAGUAUCUAUGAACAGAAGAAAUCUCAAGAUGGAGCCUACUAAACUUUGAUUUCUCAGAAUGCCUAGUUUCUAUAGGUUAAAUAGAGGAGUCAUCUUAAAUUUCAUUUAUGAUUUUGAAGAUAUCAGACCAUUGUUUUGACAUUUUUGGUUAUAAUUGUCGGUACCCAAUGUACUUAAGCAUUCCGUUUGCAUUCCUAGUAUUCUGACAACCAAACUCCUCAACUUGUCUGUGGUGAAGUCCAACAUUCAUGUUAACAAAAAUGGAAAAAAAAUCACUGAGAAAUUCAAGAAUUAUUCUGGAGGUUUCUUAUCCUCUGUCACUGAGAACACAAGUUGUAGUACUCAUGUUACCUUUUAUGUACUAUCCUCUUGCUUGUUUUGUAGCAGAAGCAGUGUAGCGUCACCGGGGAAAUGUCAUCCAUUUGCUAGCUAUUUCUGUUUCCAAAUCAUUGACUGCAUAGACCCAUGAGAUUUUUCUAUUUAAAAAUAGCUGUGGUUGUUUUGAGGAGUAGCUUUUAAACUUUAUUUCCGAUUGCUUAAUUAGUUUCUAAAUCAAGAUAUUUGCCCCUUAGAAAACUACCUAGUACACAGCUGGUGACAUAAAGCUAAAUUAUUGAUAUCCUUAUGUGUAAUUACAAUGAAAUUAAUAUUCCUUUAGGAAAGAUCUAAUUAUAUUUUUGAAAACUGAAGUUAAUUAAGCCCAUUUUCAUCUACUCCCUUUCCUUCCCCCUGCCCCCCCAUUUUGUGUGUGCUUACAAAAAGUUCUCUGCUGGGUUAAAGGAGUGAGAUUUCUUUCUCCUCUACCCAUUUCCCCCUUACUGGAGCCAUGCUGGCUUGAGUCUAUCAAGUUAUAUUUAUCCAACUGUUCUGCCAUCCUAUCUUUAAUUAGAUUCUCUAUCAGUUUACUCAGUAAUGGGACAAAUCUCACCAGGCUGUAAAUUUUAGUUUAUUUUUUAGCAGCAUUAUUUAAAAUUAGGUACUGCGUUAUUAUUUUCUUCACUAUUCAUCUGCAAUGUAACUGUUUCUGUAAGGAUGUUCUGCAGAUUUCUGUUUCAGCACUUAUUUUAAAAUAGUUUUUUUGUUUGAUGUUGCAAUUUAUUCUCAACCUUUUCUGAAGUACCACCCAAUCUUUAAUCCUCUUCUUCUGUAGAUAAAACUUGUUUGUCUGAUGUCAAGUCACAGGUUUUACACUAGUGAUUUGAAGACUAACAUGCACAUCCGUAAAGGGUACUUCAGAAAGAAGUCUUUUUUUGACCAACAUCUAUAUUUCCAGUGGAAGGCUUAGCAUUUUAUUGUAGAAAUAUGGUGAACUCACACUGCAGUAAAGCCACUGACAAUAACUGGUUUGAGCAAUUUCUUUCUUCUUCUGGUCUUUGCACUUUAUAGCUAAUUGUAGUGCAUUUAGAGUUUCCAUUUCCAUUUGGAAAACUAAAUGUAAUGUGGAUAAAAUCAAAGAUGAAAUAGAAGGUAAUUAACUGCAAGGCCAAAAUUUUCAUACUGGCACCCACAUGGAGCAAUGCAGAUGAUCUGAUUUACUUAACUUUAGUCAUAUAUAGCCUCAUUCAUGUACAUAGUAGGAAAAAAUGUUUUAAAUUGACUUGCAAGCACUUUCACACUAGCUCCUUAUUAAAAUUUUAUUUGAAAUGUAAUUUUUACAAAUUCAUCUUGAAGCAAUAUUUUUAUUAAAAGGAAAAGAGGGAGAUGUGUUCUGAUAGAGUUAGUAUUUCAGCUUGGUUUCAACUGAAGUUGUUCACAUGGCUCUACCAUGAAUAUGUUUUCACUGCUGCUUAUGUUAAAGUUAACACACCUGUAUCAUGCACAGUCUUUUCCUGGAAAUUAAUGCCUUUUCACUUAAUGGAUUUGCUUAUGAUACUUGAUUUGGUAUCAAUCAUAUUUAGUCCAUUUUGCAUGUAUAGAGCUAAAUAUAUUAAUACCAUGUUAAUAUGCAAUAUCUGGAUAUUUGUGAGAAAGGGGAUUAGCUGCAAAGUCAAACGUAAUAAGAGGGGGAUUACUUGUUUUUUAACUAUAUAUGGACUAGAAGGCUUGAAUUUUAGGAUUCCUUGCUAUGUCCGAGACAUGAUGAUAAAUCAGAAUAUCUGUGUUCUGUCCCCUGAUUCUGGAAGAAAGAAAAUAAAUAUUUUGAACUGUUAUGAAGAGUUCUGAAUAUUCUGCUGUGAUAGGUAGAUAACUGGCUGGCCACCAGUUGCCUGCCCAGCUGCUCUCUCUCUCCCUCACUGGGAGAGACGCUGCCAUGGAAGAAUAUGGCUUUAAACAGAGGGUGGAAUCCCUUAUGAGUUACUAUCAGGCAAAACAGAUUUGACUGUGGGAGAAUCUGUAUUGGCAUUUUAAAUAGAUCUGAGUUGUAAGAAACAAAGACUUUAGAACAACACUUUUGUGCCCCUGCCCUUUCCUGGCUGACCUUCAUUCCAAGCUCUUAGAUGCAUCCUCAGGUGGCCCUGGUGCAGAGUGUGGGGGAUUGGAUUGUGGUCAGUCCAAAACAACUCUUCUGUGCCUCCUUUCUCCUCACACUUCUCUCAGCUCCAUCUGGGUACCUUCCAGGAACAACAGAAGGGCCAGUGCCCAGGGCUCUUCUUUCCUCUCUCCCCUCGGGGUUUGAAUGUACAGUUCCCAGUCUCAUUUGAUUUGGGUAAACUGAGGCAUGUGUCUUAAUAUGUGGGUUUUCUUGUUAGAGAAGAUAGCAUUUCCUCCUUUCAGACAUUGGUUUAUAUUAUUUUGUGGCACUUUUACUUCAGUAAAGGAAGAAGCAAUUGAACUCUUUACUUGCUUUCUGGCACCACCUGUGUUGCAUGGAAAUAAAGAGGGGGAUUUGG